GACGAACGCUGGCGGCGUGCUUAACACAUGCAAGUGGAGCGACGAACCAGGCUUCGGCCUGGGGCAAAGCCGCGAACGGGUGAGUAACACGUGGGUAGCCUGCCCCGACGAUCGGGACAACCCGGGGAAACUCGGGCUAAUACCGAAUAUGCUCUUCCCACACCAGUGGGAUGCGUAAAGGAAGCUUCGGCCUCCGCAUCGGGAUGGGCCCGCGGCCCAUUAGCUUGUGUGAGGUAACGGCUCACCAAGGCUGCGAUGGGUAGCUGGUCUGAGAGGACGAUCAGCCACACUGGGACGUGAGACACGGCCCAGACUCCUACGGGAGGGCAGCAGUGGGGAAUCUUGCGCAAUGCGCGAAAGCGUGACGCAGCAACGCCGCGUGGGGGAAGAAGGCCUCGGU
rnacentral:rRNA from 1 species